AGAGUUUGAUCCUGGCUCAGAGCGAACGUUAGCGGCGGGCCUAACACAUGCAAGUCGAGCGAGAAAGGGGCUUCGGCCCUCAGUAAAGCGGCGGACGGGUGAGUAACACGUAGGUAAUCUUCCCUUGAGCGGGGGACAACGGUCCGAAAGGACCGCUAAUACCGCAUACGUUUCCAGGAUCUCCGGGUCUUGGAAGGAAAGCUAGGCCGCAAGGUCCGGCACUCGAGGAGGAGCCUGCGUCGCAUCAGCUAGUUGGUGGGGUAAUGGCCUACCAAGGCGAAGACGCGUAGCUGGUCUGAGAGGAUGAUCAGCCACACUGGGACUGAGACACGGCCCAGACUCCUACGGGAGGCAGCAGUGGGGAAUAUUGGACAAUGGGCGCAAGCCUGAUCCAGCCACGCCGCGUGAGUGAUGAAGGCCUUCGGGUCGUAAAGCUCUGUGGGGAGGGACGAACCGCUGCACGUGCAUAGCGUGCAGCAUGACGGUACCUCCUUAGCAAGCACCGGCUAACUCUGUGCCAGCAGCCGCGGUAAGACAGAGGGUGCAAACGUUGUUCGGAUUUACUGGGCGUAAAGCGCGUGUAGGCGGCUUCGCAAGUUGGAUGUGAAAUCCCACGGCUCAACCGUGGACGUGCAUCCAAAACUGCGUCGCUAGAGUCUCGGAGAGGAAGGUGGAAUGCUUGGUGUAGAGGUGAAAUUCGUAGAUAUCAAGCAGAACACCUGCGGCGAAGGCGGGCCUUCUGGACGAUGACUGACGCUGAGACGCG
rnacentral:rRNA from 1 species